rnacentral:rRNA from 1 species
UACAGAGGUCCCGAGCGUUGUUCGGAUUCACUGGGCGUAAAGGGUGCGUAGGUGGCGAGGAAAGUCGGAUGUGAAAGCUCGGAGCUCAACUCCGAAAAUGGCAUUGGAAACUACCUUGCUCGAGGGUUGGAGGGGGGACUGGAAUUCUCGGUGUAGCAGUGAAAUGCGUAGAUAUCGAGAGGAACACCAGUGGCGAAGGCGAGUCCCUGGACAACUCCUGACACUGAGGCACGAAAGCUAGGGGAGCAAA